AGUCCUCUGAUAUACUUUAUAUGUAAAUAGAUGGCUGAGUGUUCUGGCUGAUGAACAUGGGUUACUUAACCAGAGUUAAGCGAGGACUUUCUCACCUGAAACCACCAAGAGACACAAAAGCCAGAAAAGGACAGAAAUUAAUUCAAGGGUCAACAAAUAGAGUCGGCUUUCUUUAAGACCUGAAGUGUAGAAGUCUAGGUUGAACCCUAGGUUGAUUACGUUGAAGACUACAUUCUCCUGUGAAGCAAGCAUUCCUAAAGGGUCUCUACUUUUUGUAGCCUGGGGAUUUUCUACUCCCCCAACAGCCAGAUGAGGCAGAAACCCCUACAGACAUCCCUAUGUGCCUCCUGUGCAAGUGCAGU
rnacentral:lncRNA from 1 species